CCUACGGGUGGCAGCAGUGAGGAAUAUUGGUCAAUGGACGAGAGUCUGAACCAGCCAAGUAGCGUGAAGGAUGACUGACCUAGGGGUUGUAAACUUCUUUUAUAUGGGAAUAAAAUGUUCCACGUGUGGGAUUUUGUAUAUACCAUAUGAAUAAGGAUCGGCUAACUCCGUUCCAGCAGCCGCGGUAAUACGGGGGAUCGCAGCGUUAGCCGGAUUUAGUGGGUUUAAAGGGAGCGUAGGUGGAUUGUUAAGUCAGUUGUGCAAGUUUGCGGCUCAACCGUAAAAUUGCAGUUGAAACUGGCAGUCUGGAGUACAGUAGAGGUAGGCGGAAUUCGUGGUGUAGCAGUGAAAUGCUUAGAUAUCACGAAGAACUCCGAUUGCGAAGGCAGCUCACUGGACUGCAACUGACACUGAGGCUCGAAAGUGUGGGUAUCAAACAGGAUUAGAUACCCGGGUAGUC
rnacentral:rRNA from 1 species